AUUGAACGCUGGCGGCAUGCCUUACACAUGCAAGUCGAACGGCAGCACGGGAGCAAUCCUGGUGGCGAGUGGCGAACGGGUGAGUAAUACAUCGGAACGUGCCCAAUCGUGGGGGAUAACGUAGCGAAAGUUACGCUAAUACCGCAUACGAUCUACGGAUGAAACGGGGGACUCAGCAAUGAGCCUCGCGCGAUUGGAGCGGCCGAUGUCAGAUUAGGUAGUUGGUGGGAUAAAAGCUCACCAAGCCAACGAUCUGUAGCUGGUCUGAGAGGACGACCAGCCACACUGGGACUGAGACACGGCCCAGACUCCUAUGGGAGGCAGCAGUGGGGAAUUUUGGACAAUGGGCGCAAGCCUGAUCCAGCAAUGCCGCGUGCAGGAAGAAGGCCUUCGGGUUGUAAACUGCUUUUGUACGGAACGAAAAGGUCCUUUCUAAUAAAGAGGGCUCAUGACGGUACCGUAAGAAUAAGCACCGGCUAACUACGUG
rnacentral:rRNA from 1 species